UACAGAGGUCCCAAGUGUUGUUCGGAUUCACUGGGCGUAAAGGGUACGUAGGUGGCGAGGUAAGUUUGAUGUGAAAUCUCCGGGCUUAACCCGGAAACUGCAUUGAAUACUAUCUUGCUCGAGGUUUGGAGGGGGGACUGGAAUUCUCGGUGUAGCAGUGAAAUGCGUAGAUAUCGAGAGGAACACCAGUGGCGAAGGCGAGUCCCUGGACAACACCUGACACUGAGGCACGAAAGCUAGGGGAGCAAACAGG
rnacentral:rRNA from 1 species